AUGAUAUGUCGUCGCGGUGAAGGCCAAGGAAAACUGGAUGUGUGCUUAGAGCUGGAGGAAUCGCUGUUUUGGUGGACUUUUGAGCAAGAAGCUGUUGGGGCUGUUAGGUCUCCUGACGAUUCGGUGUUGAAGUAUGGCGAGUUCGAUGUGAGGGUGCUUUUUGCUCCCAAGGACUUCACUGUGGUUGGCUGA
rnacentral:rRNA from 1 species